rfam:Pelagibaca abyssi strain JLT2014, complete genome.
GGCCACCUGCGGACCACCAGUCGAGGGGGCUAUCACAUAGGGCGGAGCCUUCCGCCCGUCUGUAAACGGAAGACAGAAA